AUGAUUGAUGGAAGAGAUGGCUUAAAUGUCUUCUGUCUCUCUCUUCUCCUUGCUCCUGCUCUGCAUGCCCUGCACCUCCUUUUCAGCUCAGCCGAGUCAGAGGUUUUUGUACGAUGGCUCCAUCAGUUUGUAUCACUGUUGGAUACGUUUGGUGGAGGAACCAGACUGGAUGUUAACUUGGAAAAUGCUCGUCCCACCCUGACAGUGCUGCCCCCUUCCAGUGAGGAGCUGCAGCAGGGGAAGGCCACCCUCAUGUGUCUGGCCAACAAGGGCUUCCCCUCAGACUGGAGUCUGUCCUGGAAGGUGGACGGCAGCAUUAACACCUUCACCUGGGAGGAGAAUAAGAGCCGAGGAGUGCUGCAGAAGGACGGCCUCUACAGCUGGAGCAGCACCCUGAGGCUCCCUGCAGACCAGUGGAGGAAGGUGGGCUCUGUGACCUGUGAGGCCUCCCAGGGCUCCCAGUCUGCAGCCACUGAGACACUGAGGAGAGACCAGUGUUCCCAGUCCUGA